CCUACGGGUGGCAGCAGUGAGGAAUAUUGGUCAAUGGGCGCGAGCCUGAACCAGCCAAGUAGCGUGAAGGAUGACUGCCCUACGGGUUGUAAACUUCUUUUAUAAAGGAAUAAAGUGAGGCACGUGUGCCUCUUUGUAUGUACUUUAUGAAUAAGGAUCGGCUAACUCCGUGCCAGCAGCCGCGGUAAUACGGAGGAUCCGAGCGUUAUCCGGAUUUAUUGGGUUUAAAGGGUGCGUAGGUGGGUUGUUAAGUCAGUUGUGAAAGUUUGCGGCUCAACCGUAAAAUUGCAAUUGAUACUGGGAGUCUUGAGUACAUGUGAGGUAGGCGGAAUUCGUGGUGUAGCGGUGAAAUGCUUAGAUAUCACGAAGAACUCCGAUUGCGAAGGCAGCUUAC
rnacentral:rRNA from 1 species